AGUAAACCCUAAUUUUUAAAUCUUCCUCCCCUCAACACUUAUUAACUUCAUCUCCACUUCAUUUGUUACUCUUGGUAUUACUAUAAGUGUAGCAUAUGCACGAUUUGGUAAUUAGGAUAUGGUAGAAUGAGUGGUCAGAGAAAUUACAACAGUUCUCAAGUUUCAAAGCUUCGAAGGGUGUGUUGACCGAUGCUACUUCCAGCUGUGCGUGGUUGGGAUAGUAGCAUUCUGUGGCCCCCUGCGCUCAGCAAGACCUGCCUGCUUUUUCCCUGGUUGACAACUACUGAUGUGAGGUUUAUCUGUUAAUGUCAACGGAGAACCUUGCCAAUGAAGAGGGAGAACAAGGCAACGGACCGCGCAGCACCACACAUUAUGAAGAGAACUAUUAUGCUGUUUCGUGGUGAAAUGUGAGGACCCAGGCAGCAGGUGACGCGGAUUGGCUGGUGACCCUCCUCUUCCUCCAGGUCCGCGGUGCUGGCUGGUGCGAUAAUCAAUACAAAGCUUUCUUGCCUGUGUAAUGUUGUAAUGAACGUUGUGUGUCAGACUCGUGGAUUGACAGUGUUGUCGGUUAAUGAGCAGCAGUGUUAUAAGUCAUUGACUCCCCAAAUACAACAUUGUAUAUUUUUAUUUUAUUUUUAUUUAUUUUUUUUUGAAGCUUUGCCCUGUGGAAAAGUUCGGAGUUUUUCUCCGGAGACUCUUCGAGGUAGAUGAAAUGUAUUUUAUAUUUUAAUUAAAUUUAUUUUUUAAGCUUUUGCCAUGUGGAAAA